rnacentral:rRNA from 1 species
AGUGAACGCUGGCGGUAGGCCUAACACAUGCAAGUCGAACGGCAGCACAGUAAGAGCUUGCUCUUACGGGUGGCGAGUGGCGGACGGGUGAGGAAUACAUCGGAAUCUACUUUUUCGUGGGGGAUAACGUAGGGAAACUUACGCUAAUACCGCAUACGACCUACUGGUGAAAGCAGGGGAUCUUCGGACCUUGCGCGAUUGAAUGAGCCGAUGUCGGAUUAGCUAGUUGGCGGGGUAAAGGCCCACCAAGGCGACGAUCCGUAGCUGGUCUGAGAGGAUGAUCAGCCACACUGGAACUGAGACACGGUCCAGACUCCUAAGGGAGGCAGCAGGGGGGAAUAUUGGACAAUGGGCGCAAGCCUGAUCCAGCCAUACCGCGUGGGUGAAGAAGGCCUUCGGGUUGUAAAGCCCUUUUGUUGGGAAAGAAAAGCAGCAGGUUAAUACCCCGCUGUUCUGACGGUACCCAAAGAAUAAGCACCGGCUAACUUCGUG